rnacentral:misc_RNA from 1 species
CUCACUGCGUGGGGCUUCCAAGACUGCGCGCGGGACCCUAACAACGGCGCGUUUGGUGCCGCUCUACCCAGGUUGCUCUUCAGACACCUCCCCAGGCAUUACCCUGCGGACAACGUCUACGGCCUGUUCCCAUUCUUCACCCCUGAGGUCACGAAGAAGAACUUGACGAAGCUGCAUCUUGUUGACCAGUACCAGUUCAACCGCCCGGUUACCAAGCCCGUGG